AUGGUGGGGCGUGCCCGGCCUGGAGGCCGUCCUCGAGUACAUCGAGGGCGGCAACACGCCGAGGCUGGAGUACCCCGCUCCCCCGUCCUUCUCUCGCCGGCGUGGGAGCUCGUGGACGCCGAGGCGCAUGGACCCGGGGGCGUCCUCCUCCUCGUCCGGCCGCUCGUCCGGCUCUCCCUGCCUCCGCCCCGUCAAGCCGGAGCCCCAGGACACGCCUGUCAGCGCGCGCACCCGCAGCUCCGGCGUCCGCAUCGACGACUCCGCCCCCGCCUCUGGCCGCCUCGUCCUCGUCAGGCCGAAGCCAGAGCCCGGCCUCCCCGCUGA
rnacentral:rRNA from 1 species